rnacentral:lncRNA from 1 species
AGGGAGAGUGGAGUCGGGCUGAGGAGGAACCCCCCCUGAGCAACUCGGAGCCUGUGCCUCGUCACACGCUCUGUGUCUCUCUGUCCCGCUGCCUCUGAGGACUGGGCGAGUCACCUCAACGGCUGGGGACCAUGGGAGGUGGCAGCACAACCCCGAGCCUCACGGCCCUUCUCUGCCUCGGGCUGUGCUGGCGCCCAUGGGACCAGGUCCAGGCAAGUGAGUCCCCCAGACCUCCUGCUUCCACCCAACCAGCCUUCUGUCCUGGGGGAGGGGGGCACAGCGGGUGGGGCUGAUGGUGACCAGGCUGGGAGGGCCCUGGGGAGACAGGCCGAAGGAGAAGGGCACCCUGACACUCCAGGUCUGAUUCCUUUCCAGGGGUCCUUCCCAAACCCUCCAUCCGGGCUGACCCGGGACCCACUGUCCCAAGGGGAGCCCUGUGACCCUCUGGUGUCAGGGGUCCCCACAGGCUGAUGUCUACCGUCUGUAUAAAGUGGGGGACUCUGGACUCUGGGAGGAUGAAGCCACACAGGACUCCAGGAACACAGCCCGGUUCCACUUUGAAUCCUUGAGCUCCCGCCAUGCAGGGCGGUACCAGUUUACUUAUCAGAGCAGGAACAGCUCGUCCAGGCGGAGUGACCCCCUGGCCCUCGUGGUGACAGGUAAGAGGGAGGACCCGGGUCCCUCCCACCCGGGGCUCCUCCUCACAGGCAGGGGGAGCAGACUGUGGGCUCAGAGGGCCUGAACCCCACAGCCCACAGCUGGGGAUUGGGGUGAAGGCCCCCCUUUAAUACCAUCCUCCUGCCCCCUCAGGACUGUACACAGCACCCUCCCUCUCAGCCCACCCGAGCCCCAUGGUGGCAUCAGGAGGGAACGUGUCCCUCUCCUGUAGCUCACAGUUCUGGUCAGGCAUACUACACCUGCUGAAGGAGGGAGGCGCUGACGCACCCUGACGUAGCGGGUGGAGGAAAUUCGGGAACUCGGGAGGGAGGCAGACCCUCUUCCCUGUGGGCCCCGUGAACGCCUCCCACGGGGGCACCUACAGAUGCUAUGAUUCCCCCAGCUCCCAUCAAUACGUGUGGUCAUGGCCCAGUGACCCUCUGCAUCUCCAGGUCAAAGGUGUGGGCACUCAGACCCAUCUAUUUCCUGGACCCUUGAUCUAAGCUUGGUGCCCAGUGGAGUCCUGGGGCUAAGGGGGCACCAGGGAAGGGACUCACAUGAGAUUCGCAGGGGAACUAUGAGCGGGAGGCUUUGGGGCGACCUAAGUGAACUCUCCCUGCAGCCCCAGGGAACAAUGUGGGGGGCACGUCCCUCAGGGCCACCGCCCCUGCCUCCCCAGGUGUGUACAG